rnacentral:rRNA from 1 species
UACGAAGGGGGCUAGCGUUGCUCGGAAUCACUGGGCGUAAAGCGCACGUAGGCGGCUUGUUAAGUCAGGGGUGAAAUCCUGGAGCUCAACUCCAGAACUGCCUUUGAUACUGGGGAUCUUGAGUCCGGGAGAGGUGAGUGGAACUGCGAGUGUAGAGGUGAAAUUCGUAGAUAUUCGCAAGAACACCAGUGGCGAAGGCGGCUCACUGGCCCGGUCGUGACGCUGAGGUGCGAAAGCGUGGGGAGCAAACAGGGAUUAAG